UGAAAACAUAGGGGUGAAAAGAGAAGCCAAGAAGAUGUGGGGGAGAAUUUGAUGGGGGACUCAGAGUAUGAUGUACGGGGACCCUCUAUGCACCGAACCCAAUACGUUCAUUCCCCGUAUGAUCGUCCUGGUUGGAACCCUCGGUUCUGCAUCAUCUCGG
rnacentral:sRNA from 1 species